rnacentral:rRNA from 1 species
GGGCCGCACGCGCGCUACACUGACGGAGCCAGCGAGUAUUUACCUUGGCCGAGAGGUCUGGGUAAUCUUGUGAAACUCCGUCGUGCUGGGGAUAGAGCAUUGUAAUUAUUGCUCUUCAACGAGGAAUUCCUAGUAAGCGUAAGUCAUCAGCUUGCGUUGAUUACGUCCC